UGAUAAACGUCAGGAAGCUGAAGACCUACACUCGCAGCCGAUUUUCCUAGUAUUCUUUUCAUUUCAUCUGAUCUAUCCACAGCAAUAUUGUAAGAGAAUAACAAUUCCUUGUGAUGGUGCACACUAUUAAGCAGAAAAGUAUAAUCACGAGCAAGCUUGAUUUUCUGCUGAAUGGAUGAUUGGUCAGACAGAUUGCUGUUCUUCCGGAAUUCUAGCAUUGCGAAUUCACCAAAAUGCUUCUUGUAAUCUUCCUUGCCAAUGUGUUUCUUAAUAGCUUUGAGAAGCUGUCGAUAAGCCUUCAAAGCAUGUAAAGCUUCAGAACUCAUUUUCCAACACCACACACCACAGAUAACUUGUCAAAACCAAUUUCCUUGUUCAAUCUUCUGGUCAUAGGAGGACGAGAGAGCUUUUCCUUUAUUGAUUCGCGGGUGAUUCGGCGAGUCUACUCG
rnacentral:misc_RNA from 1 species